rnacentral:rRNA from 1 species
UAAGGGCGCACGGUGGAUGCCUUGGCACUAGAAGCCGAUGAAGGACGUUACUAACGACGAUAUGCUUUGGGGAGCUGUAAGUAAGCUUUGAUCCAGAGAUUUCCGAAUGGGGAAACCCAGCAUGAGUUAUGUCAUGUUAUCGAUAUGUGAAUACAUAGCAUAUCAGAAGGCACACCCGGAGAACUGAAACAUCUUAGUACCCGGAGGAAGAGAAAGAAAAUUCGAUUCCCUUAGUAGCGGCGAGCGAAACGGGAAGAGCCCAAACCAACAAGCUUGCUUGUUGGGGUUGUAGGACACUCUAUACGGAGUUACAAAGGACGACAUUAGACGAAUCAUCUGGAAAGAUGAAUCAAAGAAGGUAAUAAUCCUGUAGUCGAAAAUGUUGUCUCUCUUGAGUGGAUCCUGAGUACGACGGAGCACGUGAAAUUCCGUCGGAAUCUGGGAGGACCAUCUCCUAAGGCUAAAUACUCUCUAGUGACCGAUAGUGAACCAGUACCGUGAGGGAAAGGUGAAAAGCACCCCGGAAGGGGAGUGAAAUAGAACCUGAAACCGUGUG